rnacentral:rRNA from 1 species
UACAGAGGUCUCAAGCGUUGUUCGGAUUCAUUGGGCGUAAAGGGUGCGUAGGCGGUGCGGUAAGUCGGGUGUGAAAUCUCGGAGCUUAACUCCGAAACUGCAUUCGAUACUGCCGUGCUUGAGGACUGGAGAGGAGACUGGAAUUUACGGUGUAGCGGUGAAAUGCGUAGAUAUCGUAAGGAAGACCAGUGGCGAAGGCGGGUCUCUGGACAGUACCUGACGCUGAGGCACGAAGGUCAGGGGAGCAAACGGG